UUCAAAAUACGAUUAGCAUAUUCAAAUAUUAUGUGCUAAAGGUGUCCCAUAUUACCCCACAGUAUUCUAUGUCUGUCAAUUUCGCGUAUUUGCUAUACGGACAGAAAGGUAAGAUUUUUCGAUGACGCAUAUGUUUGUAAUGUAGAUUAGUACAUACUUCUCACGGAUAGUCAGAAGUUUUCAGUUGUAUUCACUCGCCCGCAUUUAUUACCAUUGUCCAGUAGCGAAAUUUAAUUUUGACUUCGUAACGCUUGGCCCAUUGAACCAAUCACACCGUUUAGAAGUCUUACACACAUGACGCAUUAUCUCUUGAGAAUGGAAUAAAUUUUCAACUAAAACAUCUGCAGAGGUGGAAAGAAUAUACAAAGAAACUUGCUGACAGACUGGAAACUGCUCGACAGUUCGACGCAGACGUCAUUAUACUCUGUUUAUUGAUCGACGUGUUAAAAGCGAAAACGUGUCACUGUCUCCGGUGAUGAUAAAUAAUUUUCCGAAAUAUAACCUAUUGUCGCAAGUUAGUAAACACAACUUAUAGCGAUUUGUUUUCUUUCGCUUUUGUUUUUCGGAAACGAUUACGGGCAAGUUUUGAACGAGUCAAUUUGACGGUCACGAGCAAUCGACUUGUAUACACACUAAAUGUGUUUAAGUGAUACAACAAUUAUGUUUGGUGUGACAAGGUGACACGUUACGCAAACGCUGUUGGAGACAAGAUCAACGUCGUAUUAGCACCUGGCUGGAAAAGGCUCAAUAGCGGACAGGUGUCGUUUGUGUCUUUCAUGAGUAAAUUCUUCGCGAUUAACUCGGCAAAAAUCGCUGCGAUUCGCGCGGUGGAGUUGAUUCCAAACACCUAGCCUCGCAACUUGGUGCUAGACGAUGUUUGUAUUUGUUACGCAAGGAGUGGUGCGUGCCGCAUGACAAUAACUAAAUCUGUGUUCCCAUGGCCAGAUCAUGAGAAUACGACGGAUGUGACGAUUCCGUGGUAUAAGACGACUGAAAAAUAAAUGUUGCGUGACCAAGUCACCAGUUGUAGAAUGCCUUGAAACUUGAAAGCUCCGAAAUGUUUUCGUAUCCGCACAAACGCUUAGUUUUAAACCUUCAAUUUAACAAAGUAGAUUGACGGCUAGACGACAAAAGUAAGAGCAUUGUUGAGAUAAAGUUAAGUAAGCGUCCGAAGUAUUGAGUAAGUUAAGCAGCUUAAACUAUCAACUGGUGAAAACCGGGCAUCAAAUUUACCGCAAGAUUUCAUGCUUUAUUCACAUUUUGACUUUUUUAAGAUGAUCCGUUCACGAAUGUCGAAUUGAGUUAAGUUUGUCAAUACCAGCAGACACUCGGUCUCUUAGGCUUGUUUUAAUUAGACGCUACAGCGCCCACUGCCGAUUUUGUUUAUUUAUAGUGGUUAGCCGCUAAGGGCUCCCUAAGCUAUGCGCUCAGCGUGGUGUUCCACCCGAAACAAUAUUUUCACCACAUGAAUUGAUUGCAUUGCUGAUUAAUUAUCUGUAACAUUUAGAAAAAUGCAUAACAGUUUGGUCACAACGAGUAUGUCGUUAUGAAUUUCCUCAAUAAGUUAAUGCUUUGUCCGAGUUCGGAAGGAAACGCGAUGUUCAAAUUUGUACCAAAACAAACAGAAAAGAUUAGUUUCCACGGGAUUGUGACCUUUGACCUUAAACUGAUGACCAGUUGGUCGACAUGGCGCCAAAAACAAGGCGAGCGAUCGACUCUUCAAAUUUUCCCUACAUAUUCACCAAUUUCGAUAAAUCAACUUACAACAAUUCAGCACCAUCGGAAGUCUUAUUUCAAUGCAUCUAAAGGCGUAAACCGAGUCAUAUGAGAUAAACUCAACUCAAUUUACGUUUAUCUCUGACUAGGAAAAUUUUGGUGAACGGGGCUAACAGCCGUAAAAUUACCAAUAAUACAUUCAUGAUACGACUGGAGGAAGCCAGGCAAUCAUCUUAAUAGACCAUCGCGUCUUCAGAAUUCUAUACGGUCCAUCGCGUAUUUUGGCGCUGGUUUCAUUGACGUCACAAUUGAAAAUGUCCUGCGUCAGAAUUCGCUGUCAAUCAUCCGCGUGACCCGAGAGGCCGAUGCGAGGAGCGGAAGGAAAUUUUAAACAAAUGCACGCGAGUCUUCGUCAACGACAGAAUAAUGGUGGCGCUGUGCGAGCGCUGGUGAGCCCUCGGGUGCAGCGGAACGGCCAAAAGUUGAUCGACGGUUCGCGAUGUUGUAUUUUACUGAUUAUUAUCUUGAUUAUCACGAAAUGCGCGUUCCUGCGCAGUCGUCCCGCUAAGAUUGGGUCUACACGUGCGCAUUACCCAAACAAACCUAUCCAAGACCUGAUUAAUCUCCGUAUAACGCGCCGACCAAGAAUUCUCGGCAGUUUUAAUCCGUUGAUAUACGCGAAGCUACACUGGCCGUCACAAGGUCGCAACCCAUGUGUGGGACAGCUUAAGCCUACAUGACGUAGCAGCUAGCUUACCGAGAAAUCCAAGUGUGACGACGAUUAACCGAUUGUCGUGAUUGAUAACCGAACCAGCGACAUGAAUUAAUUUUUAUUGCUUGCCUCUGCACCGUUGCUGUAAAUAAACCCGACGGGUUCGCUGCUGCUUUUACAGCGUUCGCUUUAAAUUUGAAAGAUUCCGGGCAUCGCAGUUUUAUGGCAAACAAGUGACGUACAUGAAAAUUUCGCGGCAUCGGUUAGUUUAUUUGGGGUUUGGGGUAAACUAUAAGGCGUGAUACCUAGUACAGUGUGGAAGUGGCCAUUGAACGUAAAUCCCGUUGCAUCAACAAAAGCUGUAUUGUUGCCAAACAAAUAGACGACGCCGGCGUUUAACGCCACAUAUAUACCGCCACCUUUUCCUGCGCUGUUACCAUACACAGAUAUUCAUAAAGCGAGUAUUUGUUUGUGUGCUUUGUACUGCGGAGAGAUAAAAAGCAUCGACCUUUCGCAAGCCAUGUAUCCUGUUUGUAUUCAUCAUGUUAUGGGAAACAACUCCACGCCCGAAACGAUUGGAUGCGAAUCAAAGGGAGGACGCAUUCAGAAACCGUAUUAUUUGAUAUUAAAUUAAAACAUGACUCAUUUUCGGGCUGUGUUGUAUAGCAAUGACUGUAAAAUCGACGUUGAAAAACAAAUGAAUUUAUGUAUGCAGCAUAUGAAUGCAGCUUGCUGAUAUUUAAUUGUAUCAGGUUUUGAGGGCACGGUUUAUCUCUGUGCAUCUUGUCGUCUCCGCAUCGCCAAAGAUCGUCAUAGUUCGUGAUAGGCCUGAAUUCGGUGGGUGCGGGCUCGCUAACUGUAAACAGCAACGGUUGGAACGACGUUCGCGUCCCACCAACAUAGCGGAGCGUAAUCUGCUUAACUGAGACAGCUUAUUAUGACAACUGCUGCAGUGAGACGUAAUGGUAUAACUCCGAAAUUAAUUACAUAUUGAAAUUCGCACGCUACCAAAUUCGCGUUUAGAAUAAUAAAAAAAAUAUUCACGAUUUCUGAUUUGUGUUCCUGAUACAUAAUUCUAUACGGAUUAAAAUCGCUGUACAAGAAGAUAUCGGAUUUGAUUGAAUUGCGGAUGUCGGCAUAGUCAUGUUUACAGGCAACUUCUAGACACGGUCCAAGUCCAUGGGAAUAUCACUGUUGAUGUGUAAACAGA